GUGCCGGAAGGUCAAGGGGAGGGGUGCAAGCCCCGAACCGAAGCCCCGGUGAAC
rnacentral:rRNA from 1 species